rnacentral:rRNA from 1 species
CCGGAUAGCCUUUCAAGCUUUCGGGCGUGAAAGAAAAGGUAGCUUCGGCCUCCGAUCGAGGAUGAGCCCGCGGUGGAUUAGCUUGUUGGCGGGGUAAUGGCCCACCAAGGCGACGAUCCAUAGCUGGUCUGAGAGGACGAUCAGCCACACUGGGACUGAGACACGGCCCAGACUCCUACGGGAGGCAGCAGUGGGGAAUCUUGCGCAAUGGGCGAAAGCCUGACGCAGCGACGCCGCGUGGGGGAAGAAGGCCUUAGGGUUGUAAACCUCUUUCAGGUGGGACGAAGCCACUCGGGUUAAUAGCCCAGAGGGUGACGGUACCGCCAGAAGAAGCCCCGGCUAACUACGUGCCAACAGCCGCGGUAAUACGUAUGGGGCAAGCGUUGUCCGGAUUUAUUGGGCGUAAAGAGCGUGUAAGCGGCCAGGUAGGUGGGUUGUGAAAACUGGAGGCU